GCACCACAAGAGGUGGGACCUGCGGUUCAAUUGGAUUCAACGCCGGAAAACUCACCAGGGGCGACAGCUGGUUGACGGCCAGAUUGACGAUCUUGCCCGACUAGCUGAGAGGUGGUGCAUGGCCAUCGUCAGCUCGUACCGUGAGGCGUCCUGUUAAGUCAGGCAACGAGCGAGAUCCUCGCCCUUAGUUGCCAUCGGUGGAAAGCCGGGCACUCUAGGGGGACCGCUGGCGCUAAGUCAGAGGAAGGAGAGGGCGACGGCAGGUCAGUAUGCCCCGAAUCCCCUGGGCUACACGCGGGUCACAAUGCGCAGGACAAUGAGAUGCAACCCCGUAAGGGGAAGCCAAACCCUUAAACCUGCGCUCGGUUCGGAUCGAGGGCUGUAACUCGCCCUCGUGAAGCUGGAAUCUCUAGUAAUCGCGUGCCAACACCGCGCGGUGAAUGCGUCCCUGCUCCUUGCACACACCGCCCGUCAAGCCACUCGAGUGGGGUUUGGAUGAGGUCAGUUCAAGUUGUGCUGCUCGAAUCCGAGUUCUGCAAGAGGGGCU
rnacentral:rRNA from 1 species